UUGUAGGUGCGAAGUGUUUCUCCAUCUUCGUCUUCUGCUGCCGCGGAGCCCCUCGACGUUUGGGUUUCUGCUCAUGUGUCGUCUGCUUUCGAAGAACUCCUGUUUUUUUCGGUUUCUGCUCACAUUUUCGACGUUUCAGUUUCGGUUUCUUCGCGGCUCUUGUACAUCGCACACAGUCAAGGCCGCUUUCGACAUAUGCAGAGAUAAGUGACGAAGUUGAUUGUACUCAUACCCGCGAGCACCCAAAUUUUGCACCUGGCUUUUCAAGGUUUCAGUGUUGUUCCUAUUCGCCUCCGUGGCCGCACUAACCGAAGCGUAUUCGAGCUACCGUCCCUACUCCAGCUUCCACCCCAUACCCAGCACUGGUCAGCGCUACUAUCCUGUCGUUAUCCAGACUGUGCCAGCGGGGUCCUACCCGCAAGUAAUCGACUACUACCCACCGCAAGUGGAGGUCAUAUAUCCGGUGUACCCACCGCAGGUCGUACCGCAGCAAAUCGUUCCAGGUCAGCGAGUCGUGACACAGCAAGUAAUCCCUGGUCGUCAAGUGGUACGCCAACCUACGAGGCCGCCGACGAUCGUGGUACCCCGCGACAGACUCGUGCGCCCGGAGGACGUGUUCCGGAGAGAUCGCUGGGGGUCAGUGGUGCCACAGAGACAGGUCAUCAGACCAGAUGUCCAGGAAGGCAGGAUAAGAUAAUCACGGCAAAUACACGCGGAUCUGAUGCCUGCUCCAAUGGCUGCCAGGCAUUUGCCUCGCCUUCUGGCUGCGCAGACAACCAUAAGGUGUCUGAUGCAUUGUACACUAUCUGUUGUAGCAUUACGCGAGCACCGCCUUAACUGCGUUCAACGCUUUACUUUGUCACUACGUCUGUGUCCGCGUUCUACUGCACACUCUAAGAAAAAAAGGAGUAAAACGGGGAGUAAUUGCAGCUUCUACUCCCCUAGUCUGCAAUUACUCCCCAUUUUAGUCCCCUAACCCAACAUUUAGUCCCGACGUUUACUCCCGAGGACUGCAAAUUGUCACUGAACUUCGCGAAUGGUCUCCUGAAUGGAAAAGUCUGCGUAAAUAUGUGCCCUUGCUCAAUUUGAACGACAUAAGGGUGUAUAACUCACACAACGUAGCAAUUUUCCAGCCACACAGAGUAAGAAACAGUUAGCGCAUCUUUCUUCGCAAAUUGUGCCCUAAUAUGGCGCAAGAUUUUGUAUCACUCGAUAUAUCACGGUUGACGGUUUGCUUCAAAGUAACUUCAUGCAUGCGCACCAAUUAUGUACCUGGGACUCUUACAACAGCGCGUGAAAUGCGGUCACUCUGUGACAUUCAUUUACUCCCGUGCAUUUACUCUCGAAAGGGACUAUUUUUGUGGCAAUGCAAUUACUCCCCAAACGGAGUAAAAGUACUCCUUUUUUUCUUAGAGUGUGCCAGUGCAGAGCUAACGUGAACUCCCACCGAAACACUGUUCUCAAAUGGUCGCCCUUCAUAUAAGGAACACUUGCAAGGUUAAUAAAAUGAUAAAUACUAUAAAUAAACGAUGCGUA